rnacentral:misc_RNA from 1 species
UUUCCGUAGGUGAACCAGCGGAAGGAUCAUUACAGAGUUCAUGCCCUCACGGGUAGAUCUCCCACCCUUGAAUAUUUAUACCUUAGUUGCUUUGGCAGGCCGUGGAAACACCAUGGGCUCCGGCUUAUGCGUGCCUGCCAGAGGAAACAAACUCUGUUUGUAGUGAUGUCUGAGUACUAUAUAAUAGUUAAAACUUUCAACAACGGAUCUCUUGGUUCUG